rnacentral:rRNA from 1 species
CAGCUUUUGACAUGUCCCGUAUGAGAAACAGAAAUGUAUCUCUUCACUUCGGGUGGCGGGAACACAGGUGCUGCAUGGCUGUCGUCAGCUCGUGUCGUGAGAUGUUGGGUUAAGUCCCGCAACGAGCGCAACCCUCGCCCUUAGUUGCCAUCAUUCAGUUGGGCACUCUAAGGGGACUGCCGGUGAUAAGCCGCGAGGAAGGUGGGGAUGACGUCAAGUCCUCAUGGCCCUUACAGGCUGGGCUACACACGUGCUACAAUGGCGGUGACAAUGGGAUGCAAUGGCGCGAGCCUGCGCAAAUCUCAAAAAGCCGUCUCAGUUCGGAUUGCACUCUGCAACUCGAGUGCAUGAAGUUGGAAUCGCUAGUAAUCGCGGAUCAGCACGCCGCGGUGAAUACGUUCCC